rfam:Triticum aestivum genome assembly, contig: Triticum_aestivum_CS42_TGACv1_scaffold_592611_7BS
CAACUACUCCCUCUGUCCCAAACUUCUUGUCUUAGAUUUGUCUAGAUACAGAUGUAUUAAAUACAUCCGUAUCUAGAUAAAUCUAAGACAAGAAUUUUGGGACAGAGGGAGUACUUU